rnacentral:lncRNA from 1 species
AACGCUGCAGCGUUGUUCGAGGAAGGGCUGGCCAAAAAAAACCCAAACCAAACCAAACUCCUCUGCCCUGUUAAAGAGAGUGCUGGCGUAACUCUAGGAGCACGAACUACAAGAAGUGUUUCACGUCUGCGCCGCACAAAAGCCACGCGGGACGCAAACGCGACCCCCUCCGCGCCGGCGGCCCCUCAGCGCAGCGCCGCGCCCCUGGCCGCGACCCCGCCCGCCCCGAGCAGCGCCGCGGGGACGCACCUAACGGCCGGACCAACAGGCAGCAACGACGGGCAGCAACGACUCGCGGCAACGGCUCGCGCAACRGCUCCCGGCCGGCGGCGAACGCCCCCCCCCGCACCCGGGAUUUUGACCCGGCGGGCGGACUGGGAGCGCCGGCACCAACUUCCUCCUGGAGUGCCGGGCAGAGGCGGCAGCCUGCUCGCCCAGGCCCGCCGCCUCCGCGCACCCGGCUCCCCGCGGGCCGCCCCGCCCGCCCGCAGGUGCGCCGCGCCGCGCUCUUUACGCUCCCCCCCGCGGCCCGCGGGGCCCCGACCCCCUCCCCGCGGAGCUGGGGAACAAACUUGGCUCCCCCGGCCCGCGCCGGGCAGCCCCUCUCCCCCGGAAGGCGCCCGGCGGCAGCACCCCGCCGCCGCGGCCACUCACCCCUCGCAAACCGCGGCCGGGAGGCAGAGGCGGACCCGCUUCCCCGCGGCGCCCCAGCUGGCCCGCCCGCCCGCCGGCUCCUCCCCGCGCCCCGUCCCCAGGCGGCGGCGGCGGCUCCCCGGCGCUGACGGACCCACAACUUUUUGUGCGAGCCGCUGCCGUCCCUCCUCCCUGCCCGCGCGCCCGCCCUGCCCGCGCGGCUCCUCCCCCGGCCACCGGCCCCCUUUGUUNCGAAUGCCCAGUUUAACCAGGCGGCCCCCAAAAACAGCAGGAUCGGGCCGGGGAAGAAACCCACUUCUGACCCGGCACCUCAGCUGGCACGGCGGCCAUCCCCCCGGCAUCGGGUCAGCGGCGACCCGAGCCCAGCCGUGCCUCAGUUUCCCCCCCUUUCACUGCCGGACGGAGCCGUGCCUCAGUUUCCCUCCCUUCUCCAACAGACGGAGCCGUGCCUCAGUUUCCCUCCCCUCUCCGACGGAUGGAUCCGAGCCCGGGGAUGCCGGGGAUGCCGGUGCCGCCGUUACCUGGCCCUCGGGGACGGCGCGCAGGUAG